rnacentral:piRNA from 1 species
UAACCCCAGCAUAUCAUGCAGGCAGGACAGU